AUUGAAAGACAAUGAUGUGAGAAUUCCAAGCACAUAUCUGAAAUGAAUGUGUUGAAACAUAUUGUCACUGAGUCUUUUCUGA
rfam:Xenopus laevis strain J chromosome 1S, whole genome shotgun sequence.